GAUGAACGCUGGCGGCGUGCUUAACACAUGCAAGUCGAACGAAGCACCUUAUUCUGAUUUCUUCGGAAUGAAAAAUUUGGUGACUGAGUGGCGGACGGGUGAGUAACGCGUGGGUAACCUGCCUCAUACAGGGGGAUAACAGUUAGAAAUGACUGCUAAUACCGCAUAAGACCACAGCACCGCAUGGUGCAGGGGUAAAAACUCCGGUGGUAUGAGAUGGACCCGCGUCUGAUUAGGUAGUUGGUGGGGUAACGGCCUACCAAGCCGACGAUCAGUAGCCGACCUGAGAGGGUGACCGGCCACAUUGGGACUGAGACACGGCCCAAACUCCUACGGGAGGCAGCAGUGGGGAAUAUUGCACAAUGGGGGAAACCCUGAUGCAGCGACGCCGCGUGAGCGAUGAAGUAUUUCGGUAUGUAAAGCUCUAUCAGCAGGGAAGAAAAUGACGGUACCUGACUAAGAAGCACCGGCUAAAUACGUGCCAGCCGCCGCAGUAAAAC
rnacentral:rRNA from 1 species